AUGAACGCUGGCGGCGUGCCUAAUACAUGCAAGUCGAGCGAACGGACGAGAAGCUUGCUUCUCUGAUGUUAGCGGCGGACGGGUUAGUAACACGUGGAUAACCUACCUAUAGGACUGGGAUAACUUCGGGAAACCGGAGCUAAUACCGGAUAAUAUUUUGAACCGCAUGGUUCAAAAGUGAAAGACGGUCUUGCUGUCACUUAUAGAUGGAUCCGCGCUGCAUUAGCUAGUUGGUAAGGUAACGGCUUACCAAGGCAACGAUGCAUAGCCGACCUGAGAGGGUGAUCGGCCACACUGGAACUGAGACACGGUCCAGACUCCUACGGGAGGCAGCAGUAGGGAAUCUUCCGCAAUGGGCGAAAGCCUGACGGAGCAACGCCGCGUGAGUGAUGAAGGUCUUCGGAUCGUAAAACUCUGUUAUUAGGGAAGAACAUAUGUGUAAGUAACUGUGCACAUCUUGACGGUACCUAAUCAGAAAGCCACGGCUAACUACGUG
rnacentral:rRNA from 1 species